UAAGAAUAUCAUGUCUUUUGUAUUAAAGAAUUAAAUGGAUGAAAUAUGAAGUUUUAUUAAAAGAAAAAGGGGUGAAAAGAACAAAGUUUUGUCCAUCUUUGUUCAUCAUAGCUGAAAGUUAGAGAAGAGAAAGGAGAGGAGAAAGCUCUUGAGUAUUCGGUCAUUAGGAGGAAAAUUGAAGGCGGUUCGUGUGUGGAUCUCGUCAGCAUAUCGUUGCAAACAGGAAAUCCCCAACCAUAGUGGGCUUGGAG